AUACGUAGGGUGCAAACGUUGUUCGGAAUCACUGGGCAUAAAGCGCACGUAGGCGGCCAAGUCGGUUCGGUGUGAAAGCCCCCGGCUCAACCGGGGAACUGCAUCGAAUACUGCUUGGCUCGAGGAUGGUUGGGGUGAGUGGAACUCCUGGUGGAGCGGUGAAAUGCGUAGAUAUCAGGAGGAACACCAGUGGCGAAAGCGACUCACUGGACCAUAUCUGACGCUGAGGUGCGAAAGCUAGGGUAGCGAACGGGAUUAGAUACCCCGGUAGUCC
rnacentral:rRNA from 1 species